rnacentral:rRNA from 1 species
UGCAAGUCGAGGGGUAACAGGGAUUGCUUGCAAUCCGCUGACGACCGGCGCACGGGUGCGUAACGCGUAUGCAACCUACCUUUUACUGGGGGAUAGUCAAGAGAAAUUUUGAAUAAUACCCCAUACGAUCUGAUUCACUCCUGUGAAACAGAAGAAAAUUCCGAUGGUAAAAGAUGGGCAUGCGUCCUAUUAGUUUGUUGGUGAGGUAACGGCUCACCAAGACUACGAUAGGUAGGGGUCCUGAGAGGGAGAUCCCCCACACUGGUACUGAGACACGGACCAGACUCCUACGGGAGGCAGCAGUGAGGAAUAUUGGACAAUGGAGGCAACUCUGAUCCAGCCAUGCCGCGUGCAGGAAGACGGCCCUAUGGGUUGUAAACUGCUUUUAUACAGGAAGAAACGUUAGUACGUGUACUAGCCUGACGGUACUGUAAGAAUAAGGAUCGGCUAACUCCGUGCCAGCAGCCGCGGUAAUACGGAGGAUCCAAGCGUUAUCCGGAAUCAUUGGGUUUAAAGGGUCCGCAGGCGGUCUAAUAAGUCAGAGGUGAAAUCCUAUCGCUCAACGAUAGAACUGCCUUUGAUACUGUUAGACUUGAGUUAUUG